CUGUAAGCCGUUGAAGGUGGCCUGUGAGGGUUGCUGGAGGUAUCAGAAGUGCGAAUGCUGACAUAAGUAACGAUAAAGCGGGUGAAAAGCCCGCUCGCCGGAAGACCAAGGGUUCCUGUCCAACGUUAAUCGGGGCAGGGUGAGUCGACCCCUAAGGCGAGGCCGAAAGGCGUAGUCGAUGGGAAACAGGUUAAUAUUCCUGUACUUGGUGUUACUGCGAAGGGGGGACGGAGAAGGCUAUGUUAGCCGGGCGACGGUUGUCCCGGUUUAAGCAUGUAGGCGGAGGUUCCAGGUAAAUCCGGUACCUUUUAACGCUGAGGUGUGAUGACGAGGCACUACGGUGCUGAAGUAACAAAUGCCCUGCUUCCAGGAAAAGCCUCUAAGCAUCAGGUAACACGAAAUCGUACCCCAAACCGACACAGGUGGUCAGGUAGAGAAUACCAAGGCGCUUGAGAGAACUCGGGUGAAGGAACUAGGCAAAAUGGUGCCGUAACUUCGGGAGAAGGCACGCUGAUAUGUAGGUGAAGCCCCUGCGGGUGGAGCUGAAAUCAGUCGAAGAUACCAGCUGGCUGCAACUGUUUAUUAAAAACACAGCACUGUGCAAACACGAAAGUGGACGUAUACGGUGUGACGCCUGCCCGGUGCCGGAAG
rnacentral:rRNA from 1 species